AGAGUUUGAUACUGGCUCAGAUUGAACGCUGGCGGCAUGCCUUACACAUGCAAGUCGAACGGCAGCGGACCUUCGGGUGCCGGCGAGUGGCGAACGGGUGAGUAAUGUAUCGGAACGUACCUUUCAGUGGGGGAUAACGUAGCGAAAGUUACGCUAAUACCGCAUAUUCUGUGAGCAGGAAAGCAGGAGAUCGCAAGACCUUGCGCUGAUUGAGCGGCCGAUAUCAGAUUAGCUAGUUGGUGAGGUAAAGGCUCACCAAGGCGACGAUCUGUAGCGGGUCUGAGAGGAUGAUCCGCCACACUGGAACUGAGACACGGUCCAGACUCCUACGGGAGGCAGCAGUGGGGAAUUUUGGACAAUGGGGGCAACCCUGAUCCAGCCAUGCCGCGUGAGUGAAGAAGGCCUUCGGGUUGUAAAGCUCUUUCGGCCGGGAAGAAAUCGCAUGGGUUAAUACCCUGUGCGGAUGACGGUACCGGCAUAA
rnacentral:rRNA from 1 species